UUCCCAGUGGCACAAUCGGUUAGCGCGCCGUACUUAUAAUGCGGAGGUUGUGAGUUCGAGCCUCACCUGGGGAA
rnacentral:tRNA from 1 species